rnacentral:rRNA from 1 species
AAUUGGAGGGCAAGUCUGGUGCCAGCAGCCGCGGUAAUUCCAGCUCCAAUAGCGUAUAUUAAAGUUGUUGCAGUUAAAAAGCUCGUAGUUGAAUUUCGGGGUCAGUAGAUUGGUCGUGCCACAGGUAUGUACUGGUCUUACUGGCUCCUCCUUCCUGAUGAACCGUAAUGCCAUUAAUUUGGUGUUGCGGGGAGACUGGACUGUUACUUUGAAAAAAUUAGAGUGUUUAAAGCAGGCUAACGCUUGAAUACAUUAGCAUGGAAUAAUGAAAUAGGACGUUCGAUCUUAUUUUGUUGGUUUCUAAGAUUGACGUAAUGAUUAAUAGGGAUAGUUGGGGGCAUUAGUAUUCAAUUGUCAGAGGUGAAAUUCUUGGAUUUAUUGAAGACUAACUACUGCGAAAGCAUUUGCCAAGGAUGUUUUCAUUAAUCAAGAACGAAAGUUAGGGGAUCGAAGACGAUCAGAUACCGUCGUAGUCUUAACCAUAAACUAUGCCGACUAGGGAUCGGAUGAUGUUAAUUUUUUAAUGACUCAUUCGGCGCCUUACGGGAAACCAAAGUGU